rnacentral:rRNA from 1 species
UAGGGAAUCUUCCACAAUGGGCGAAAGCCUGAUGGAGCAACGCCGCGUGUGUGAUGAAGGGUUUCGGCUCGUAAAACACUGUUGUAAGAGAAGAAUGACAUUGAGAGUAACUNUUCAAUGUGUGACGGUAUCUUACCAGAAAGGAACGGCUAAAUACGUGCCAC